UGAGGAAUAUUGGUCAAUGGACGGAAGUCUGAACCAGCCAAGUAGCGUGCAGGAUGACGGCCCUAUGGGUUGUAAACUGCUUUUGUAUGGGGAUAAAGUUAGGGACGUGUCCCUAUUUGCAGGUACCAUACGAAUAAGGACCGGCUAAUUCCGUGCCAGCAGCCGCGGUAAUACGGAAGGUCCAGGCGUUAUCCGGAUUUAUUGGGUUUAAAGGGAGCGUAGGCUGGAGAUUAAGUGCGUUGUGAAAUGUAGACGCUCAACGUCUGAAUUGCAGCGCAUACUGGUUUCCUUGAGUACGCACAACGUUGGCGGAAUUCGUCGUGUAGCGGUGAAAUGCUUAGAUAUGACGAAGAACUCCGAUUGCGAAGGCAGCUGACGGGAGCGCAACUGACGCUUAAGCUCGAAGGUGCGGGUAUCAAACAGGAUUAGAUACCCUGGUAGUCCGCACAGUAAACGAUGGAUGCCCGCUGUUGGUACCUGGUAUCAGCGGCUAAGCGAAAGCAUUAAGCAUCCCACCUGGGGAGUACGCCGGNNCGG
rnacentral:rRNA from 1 species